AAAAAUACAAUUUUUAACAUGUCCUUUGAUGACUAUUAACACAAAUGCAAGAUAAGAUCCCGCAAAUGAAUACCAGCUUGAGUAGUAGUUUAUAUAUAGCAAUAGCUUGAGACAACUCACUAAGUGUGCUUGGACACCAUGUCACUUAAUAAAGGAGCAACCUUCUUACCUCAGAUGCCAGAAAUACAAAACAUCACUAACAUCUCUGAAGAGCAAGAAUCCUAUGUAUAUCAGGCAAGAUCUACUUUGGGGGGAAGUUCCAUUCAGGGUUUUACACAGGGAAAUGGUGUGAAUUGUUACAGUGUAGCUGUCCCUGAGCCACCAGAUGACCAUAGAACUGUUAAUCAUUACUUCAGACACCGAAUCUUUGCUUUCAUUCAUUUGAUUAAUCAAAGCAUGCUGGGCUCUCUUACCCACUGGGAAGCACAUUACUGUGAAAUUCAUGACCACACAAUUAAUUUAACCUCAGGUGAAUUCACAGGAAUGAAACACUUUUCUU
rnacentral:lncRNA from 1 species